rnacentral:rRNA from 1 species
CUAGUAAUCGUAGGUCAGCAUACUACGGUGAAUACGUUCCCGGGCCUUGUACACACCGCCCGUCAAACCAUGAGAGUUAGCAACACCCGAAGUCGGUAGUCUAACCGCAAGGAGGACGCCGCCGAAGGUGGGGUUGAUGAUUAGGGUUAAGUCGUAACAAGGUAUC